rnacentral:rRNA from 1 species
CCUACGGGAGGCAGCAGUGGGGAAUAUUGCACAAUGGGGGAAACCCUGAUGCAGCGACGCCACGUGAGUGAAGAAGUAUUUCGGUAUGUAAAGCUCUAUCAGCAGGGAAGAAAAUGACGGUACCUGACUAAGAAGCCCCGGCUAACGACGUGCCAGCAGCCGCGGUAAUACGGAGGGGGCAAGCGUUAUCCGGAUUGAUUGGGUUUCAAGGGUGCGUAGGCUGGGAGGUAAGUCAGCGGUGAAAUGCCCCCGCUCAACGGGGUGAAGUGCCUUUGAGACUGCCUUGCUGGACUGCGGAUGCCGUUGGCUGAAUGUGUGGUGUAGCUGUGAACUGCAUCGAUAUCACACAGAACACCGAUUGCGACGGCAUCUCACGACUCCGCGUUUGCCGCUGAUGCACGACAGCGUGGGUAUCAAACAGGAUUAGAUACCCCGGUAGUC